rnacentral:rRNA from 1 species
AUUGAACGCUGGCGGCAGGCCUAACACAUGCAAGUCGAGCGAGCGGCGGACGGGUGAGUAAUGUCUGGGAAACUGCCAGAUGGAGGGGGCUAACUACUGCAAACGGUUGCUCAUAACGCAUACCAUCAGAUGUGCCUAGAGUGGGUUAGCUGGUAGGUUGGGUCAUGGCUCCCCUAGGCGACGAUCCCUAGCUGGUCUGAGAGGAUGACCAGUCACACUGGAACUGAGACAAGGUCCAGACUCGUACGGGAGGCAUCAGUGGGGAAUAUGGCACAUUGGGGGAAAGCCUGAUGCAGCAAUGCCGCGUGUAUGAAGAAGGUCUUCGGAUUGUAAAGCACUUUAAGUUGGGAGGCGUUACCAUCAGAAUAAGCAGCGGCUAACUUCGUGCCAGCCGCCGCGGUAAUUC